rnacentral:rRNA from 1 species
UACGUAGGGCGCAAGCGUUAUCCGGAAUUAUUGGGCGUAAAGGGCUCGUAGGCGGUUUGUCGCGUCGGGAGUGAAAACACUGGGCUUAACCGAGUGCUUGCUUUCGAUACGGGCAGACUUGAGGCAUUCAGGGGAGAACGGAAUUCCUGGUGUAGCGGUGAAAUGCGCAGAUAUCAGGAGGAACACCGGUGGCGAAGGCGGGUCUCUGGGCCGAUACUGACGCUGAGGAGCGAAAGCGUGGGGAGCGAACAGG